GUCAACAACAUGAACCUCAAAUUUUCAGCAGCGUUUAUACCUAGCAACAUUCAAAUUGCAGAGGUUUUGCUGAAAGCAGCUUUGAUCGUCACAGACUUCAACAUUGAAACUGCUUCUUUUCUUGUGGAUGACAUACAGGUAUCAAGUGGAGUAAGCCACAACAUCAGCCUCAUCACUGCACUCAGCUUGGUCCUGCUGUCAUGGCUUCUUUCAAACCAGCAAUAACGUCUCUGCUGGUUUCCAGAGGAAGAUGUGCUGGAAAAUGUCAAUUCUUACUGGUGUGAAGAAGGACAUUCUAAAAAUUUACUCAUGACACUUUAAAACUUUAAAAACAUUUAUUGAAUCUUGAUACUGUAUAACAGUGAAUAUGUUUAUUUGAAUUGUCAGGCUCUUUAAGUUUGUUCAUAUCAGUUCUUUCUUAUUUAUUUAUGUAAAUUUAAUUAUUAUGGUAAAGUAAUAUAAUUUA